AGAGAGAGACAUGCGCGCAUAUCAAUAAGCGGAGGAAAAGAAACUAACAAGGAUUCCCUUAGUAACGGCGAGUGAAGCGGGAAGAGCUCAAAUUUGAAAUCUUCAAGGUUUUACCUUGACGAAUUGUAGUUUAAAGAAGUGUUUUCUGCUGAAGUUUUGGUAAAAGUUCUUUGGAAUAGGACAUCAUAGAGGGUGAGAAUCCCGUAUUUGACCAUUAUUUUCAGCUUUGUGAUAACACUUUCAAAGAGUCGGAUUGUUUGGGAAUGCAGUCCAAAAUGGGUGGUAAAUUUCAUCUGAAGCUAAAUAUUGGCGAGAGACCGAUAGCGAACAAGUACCGUGAGGGAAAGAUGAAAAGAACUUUGAAAAGAGAGUUAAACAGUACGUGAAAUUGUCAAAAGGGAAGCGUUUGACACCAGUGUUGUUUUCUCGAAAAUCAAUUAAAAAUGGCUCGAUUUUGUAUUGUUGAGACCUUAAAAGCUCACUGUACAUUUUUCGUGUCUUUUUUAAUGCACUUUUCGUUUAACAAGUCAACAUCAGUUUCUUUUGUUGUAAAAGGGUCAUUGGAAGGUGGCUUUCUUUUCGGAGAAAGUGUUUAUAGCCUUUGGCCUCUGCAAUCGGAGAGACUGAGGUCUGCAGCGUAGACUCUUCGGGGUUAGAUACAUUUGUGCUAAGUUAUAGCUUUUUAUAGACAACUUGUUGACUAUAAUUAGGUCUUGUAGCUUACUCGCUUAUGCUAUUUUACCUACGCUUAGGAUGUUGAGUCGUAGAGCACGCAG
rnacentral:rRNA from 1 species